UAAAAAAAAAAAUAAAAAAGAAAACCCAACUCACUUUUGAUUCACUCCUGAAGAAUGUCUAGCUAUCAAAGACUCUCUUUUGGUUUGUCACGACUUCUCUGAAGGGUUCACUAAGUAUCGAGAGCAGAUACAAAAUUUAUCCUCCCCUAUAAUCGACAGUGAUUCCCACAAUGGCAUGAAAUCAGAGCCAGCGUUAAUUCUUGAAGGGCUUUGCUAAUCUGAAAUCAGUUGUUCAUCCAUGGGAAGAUGUUUUGAUUUCUCUUGGUAGUUGCUUUUUGUCCAACUCUUUCUAUCUACAAGUUUUGACUCAUAAGAGAGUAUUCACAAAUUCAAUCAAGUAGUACACAACAGCUCUCUGAUAAAGCAUGGGAUAGGCAUUUUAUUAAUUGGUUCAAAGUUAGAGUGACAAGAUUGCAUAAGACUAUGAACAACAAAAAAAUAGAAGACUUACUUUCACUAUCUCGUGGUCCUUCCCAAUAUGUUACCUGCUAUAAAGGGUAAAUUUAUAAUGGAUUUAUAUUUCAUAUAGAAGAUCAUGAAAAAGGUUUAAGGACACAAAAUAGUGGAGUGGUAGUUGUUGGUGAUAAUGGCGUAGAUAUUGCAAACAUUGAUUUUUAUGGGGUUUUAACUGAGAUUCUUGAAUUGCAAUAUCUUGGAGGAAGACGAGUGGCAUUGGUUCGUUGUAAAUGGUGGGAUGUCUAUGAUAGAGAGAAAGGAGUUAAAAUAGAUGAAUAUGGAAUUGUUAGUGUUAACUCCCAACGACUUCUGAAAACAAAUGAGCCAUUUGUAUUAGCUAGCUAAGAAUCACAAGUUUUUUAUGCCCAUGACAAUAAAUGCAAAGGUUGGGAAUUAGUGAUAAUGACCCAACCUCGUGAUUCAUAUUCAAUGCCACUACAAAUGGAGGAUGAUGUUGACAAUCUAGACUGUGCAAAUGAAGAUUGUCAAAAUGGUGAAUCCUUUCAUCUAAAUUUCAAUCCAACCACUUCAUUGGGCAUAGAAGGUGAAAUCAGUUGGAGUAGAAAGGAUUUGGAGCCGAUGGUUGUAGAUGGAACAUCUUUGCAAAGAAAAAGAAAAAGGAAAAGAAAGUAUUAAAGGUCUAAACCUGAUUAUAAUUUAUAAAAGAAAAUUGAUUUUUUUU
rnacentral:misc_RNA from 1 species